UUGUUGAAUUGUUUUUUAUUGAAAAUUAAAAUUAAAAUAAUGGUAAAUGAUAAGAAAAACAACAAGUGCAACACUAUACUACACAGUGUUCCAAGGAAUGAGCAGCAAUUUCACACCUACAUGAUCACCAUUCCCACUCUCAUUUAUACAAACCAACUUCAAAGUAGAUGAGACCCAAUUUGGUACAUAGUAGUUUUCUAGUUAAAGAAAUAUUAAAACCAUACCUUCAUAAAGAACUCGACAUUGCUAAGUCCCAAGACGCUAUCAACAGUGAAAUUAUGAGAUUCUGCACUUGGAGUAGAAUAGGAAGCUGAAUAACACUUAUCGUUACAUGGCCGGCGACGGAUUUUGCGGGCGGCUCAAGAUCCGAGGAAAGCCGCAGAUGGAAGUCCGGAACGGCUGGAAGAAGUUUGGGAAGGCUGUAAGGAAAGACUUUGAUGUUGAGAAGACAGAAAAGGAGAAUUUACACUUGGAUCAGAAGAUGAUGAAGAAUAUUAAUUAAAAGAUAGCGACGGAGAAGAGGACGAUGAUGGUCUUGGUGAUUGGGAAUUGGAAAAUGUAGAGGGAAAUACAAAUGGGUUUUUCGCCAUCUGAAAGCGAUCGAGAUAGAACAGGAAAUGGGUCAACACUUGGCAUGUCUACGAGUUCUUUUUGUCGUGCGCGGUGCCCACUCAAGUGGGACCCCCACGUUUUGAUGUUGGUGGUGGUGUUCCCACUCAAGUGGGACCCACAAGCUUUUGAAAAUAAAAAAAGGCUAAGUGGAUGGGACCGACACGUUUAGAGAGAGAAAAAAAAAGAUAAAACGCUUUGUCUUUUCCUAUAAAUUAGAAAAUUCGUUUUAGAAAGGGUCUUAAAGGUAGGACGGAGAAAGGGUGUUUUUGAAAAAUACGUUUUGAAUGUUAUUAUUUUUGUAUUACUUUUUUGUAAGUUAUUAUUUUUAAUAGUAGAAGAAUUAUUCAGAAUUAAAUCUGUGAACAUAAUCCUGUGAAUCACAUUAAAUUUUUUUGUGUUAAUUUUUUUAUUUUCACUGUGUUAAUUUUCUCUUAAUUGGUUUAGAGGACCCACCUCUUUCCGAUUUUUGUUUACCAUGGGAUAUCAUAUUUCAGAGAAUUCAAAAAUAAGGGAAAGUGCGGCAGCGCCUCUUCCAUGUCCCUUCCAUUUUGACUAACUCCUCUUCCUUUAAGCAGUGUUAUUUUCCUUUUGUUUUCCAUUGAGCGAAGUUGGAGACUAAUACAUGAUCAAACUAAUAUUAACACAUUUACUUUUCUACUUUUGAUGUGUAAAUUUAAUCUAAUUGUCAAAAAUACUGAUUCUCAUCAUUCACACCAAACAAAUUCUUUACAAACCUGUUUAGGCAUUGGGCUCAAACUAUGGCAGUUUUGGUAUAUAUCAGUUCUCUAAUACCUGCAGCAACUCGACGACAUUGCUGUGUCUGAAGAGGCUAUCAAUGACAGUGAAAUUAUGUGGUUCAGCACUUGGAGGAAAAUACGAAGCUAAAUAACAUUUGUCGGUGGAUGGCCGGCGAAGGAUCUUACAGGCGGAGCAAGGUCCGAUGACAGCCGCAGAAGGCAAGCUAAGUAAAACUGCAACGAUUAUGCAGUUUUAUGUAGAUUUCGAGUUUAAUUAUGUUUGUAAAACCCGAGCAAUUAUAUGUUUUUGUACCUUCUCAAAAAAAAAAAAAAAAAAAAAAAAAACAUAGUUUUAAACCACUGUUUAACAAAGUCUUGGUUUUUUUAAAAAGAAAAAAAAAAAAAAACAACUAAUCUUUUGGUCACAUUUUAUUUGUGUGAUUUGAUAAAAUAUAUAUAUUAAAAAUUUAGUUAACAAAAGUUAUUUUACUUUUUUUAUUCUUUAAUUCAUUAAAAUAUUAAUAAAAGUUAUUUAUUUAAUAAAAAAUCAUAAAUAUUAUAAUGAGAAAAAAUAAUUAUUUAUAUAUAAAAAUUUAGAAACUUUACAAACAUCGAUACAUUUAAAAAAGAAAUAACAAAUAAAUAAAAUAGUACUAAUUCUAAAGAAGCUUUUUAUGGUAAAUGAAUGGUUGUGUGACGACCAUUUAUAUAAUUACUAAAUGUAAAAGGGAAAAGAACAUAAAAAAAAUAUCUUAUUUAUUUCAUUAUAAUAGAUGCCAUAAGAAAAUUAUAUGACAUAAUAAUAACAAUAAUAAUUUUUUUCUCCAACUAAUGUAAUAAUUAAUUAAUAAUAUCUAAUUCAUUUUUUUAAUUAUUUAACUCACUUGGUUUCAGUUAUCAGAAUUAUCUAAAUCAGAAUAAAGUCAGAUAUAUAACAAUUUGUUAUGAAUUGUAAUUCAACUUUGAAAUUCACUAAAUUUUACAUUGUGUUUAUGCAUAUUAUUAUCUAAGUCUAAUUAUCAUUUUAUGUAUUUAAUUUUUAACUUGUUGGCCACUCACAUAAGUUAGUUUAAUUUUAUGUUUAUUAUAAUUACUAUUGUUCAUUUUUUUAAUAGAAAAUCAUAAUUUUCUUUAAGGAAAUUAUUAUUAUUAUUAUAUUUAUUGUUGAGUAAAUUUUUUUAUUCUAUAAUAAAAUUAAUUUUUCUAAAUUAUUAUAAAUAUUUUUUUCGAUUUUUUUACGAACAUUUUUAUUUAAAUUUUAUAGAAAAGAACAUGAAUACAGUAGAAUCAAACUAUAAUAAAUAUUUUAUCUAAUUUUCAAUUAUUUGUAUACUUUUAUUUAUGUUUUAUUAAUUAUUUUGUUAAAUUGUUCUUUAUUGAAAAUUAAAAUUAAAAUAUGGUAAAUGAUAAGAAAAACAACACGUGCAACACUAUACGACUCAGUGUUCCAAGGAAUGAGCAGCAAUUUCACACCAACAUGAUCACCAUUCCCACUCUCAUUUAUACAAACCCCCUUCAAAGUAGAUGAGACCCAGUUUGGUACAUAGUAGUUUUCUAGUUAAAGAUUAAUUAAAACCGAAUUUUGAUCCACAAGUCUUUUUAUUCCCACAAAAAACCCAAGUAUCACACAAGCAAGGUCCAUCAUUGCCAUUGCACAUAGCCUUACACGCCUGGCAACACUCCUUGGAAGAAUUAAACUUAAACUCUGAACCCCACUUCACUGCAGGCCCCCAUAGCUCCAAAUUCUCAAUCCCUCUACAGCAAUCACCAUCAUUACCCUCUGAACUCUCCUUUAUAAAUGCCAAAGACUGAGAGCCUGAAUUCGUAAAACCAACAUUGGGAUUUAGGACUAAGGAGAGGACUGUGUAGGCCAAAGCACAGGAGAUAAAACCCAUCAGAAGAAGGAUGAGAUAGGUUAACCGGGAGGAUUCUGGGUCGUUUUGCCUUCGAACCAUUUGAGAUUCUGAGGUAGGGAGUAAAACCCAGAUGGGAAUUUGGAUGUCUUGGAUCGAUGAUUGAAAUACUGAUCAAAUGAAUUUUGGAGUUUGGUACGUUGACAGCUAAGGAAGAGAGGAAUAUGACUAAGAGCAGUCAUGGUGACAAAAACAUAAAAUAAAUUAAAAUUAAAGAGAGAAACAGGAGUCGGUCAACGGCAAUCAGUGGAAUCUGAGAAUACGUUGGUUGAAUUUGUUUUUGUUUCCUUUUGUGAGUUGACAAUGACAGGGACGAGGAAGGUAAACGACAUCGCCCACGUUUCAUUUUCCUUUCUUUUUUUCUUUUUUUUUUUUUAAGAAAAAUAAGACAAGUUUUAUUUUCUUAUUAUAACAAGCUCUGUCCUCUUUAUCAAUUUAAUUUUUAUAUAAUUACAAUGUUAAAUUAUAAAAAUGAUAAUAAGAACUCAAUUGUUUUACCAAAUUUCAGAUAAUAAAGGAAAAAAAUAAAAAAAAAAGUUUUUUUCAUAAGAAAAAAAGAAAAAACAAGAAAUGCUUUAAUCAAAUCACAGGAUAAUAUGCAUAUACAUGUUUAAUUUUAUUGUAUAAGAACCAAUAACACUAAUUAGGGUUUUAACAUAUUCCUAUAUAGAAUAAGAAUCAAUAUAAUAGUAAUUAGGGUUUUAAUACAUUCCUAUAUAGAUAUUAUUGUAUUUAUAUUUAGAAUAUUGUACUCUUACAUGGCUUGAGAAAAUAUAGUUGAUACAUUCCUAUUUAAUAUUCAUAUGUUCAUACAUGAGUUCCCGUAUAGUAUCAUUUUUCUAUGUAUAAAAGGCUUUUGACAUCGAAUCAUAAUAUCAUAGCUAGCUAGUUAUAUUAAUCUAUUUCUCUUUUCAUAGCUAGAAAUAUUAACCUCUCUCUGGUAAGAGAAUAACUUUUCAACUGUGGCAAAUCAAGAUCAAAGUCCAAAUGGAAUUCCAUAUUAUGAUUUUUUUGCUCCUGAAGGUCCUACUGUCAGUAAAAUUCUGAAUCAAAAUACAAAUCAAGCUCCAUUUCAUUAUUUUAUGGAGUUCCCUCAUCUACCACCUGCACCUGCUUAUCAUGUUGCUCCUCCAGUUCAAAAUCAAGUUGCGGCAAAAGCUACUCAAGUCCACCAUAAGGGAAGUCAAGUUCCUCCAAUUCAAGGUGUUAUGGCUUCCGCCCCUCGCCUCAAUCAUAUCCAGCGUGCAAAUGGAUUUCCUCUCCGUUCUAAUGGAAGUUAUGCUUGGGAUAAUUAAAAAAUAAAGAGUUAGAUAUCAUUAAUAUUAUUAUAUUAGAGAGAGAACUAUAAUUAUUAUUAUUAUUACAUGACAUAUGAUCAUCUACUAAAAUAAAACUACAUUCACGUCUUCUUCUUUCAUAACUUAACAAGAGCAUCAAUACUACCAGGAGUUAAAUUUCAAAUUUGAGAACGAGGAUACGCACAAGCUCUUCUAGGCUCUGGCAAGAGCAUCAGCAGACUUGUUUGCUUAUACAUCAUUAAAUUGGUUCAUAAGAUGUUUUGAGCCUUUAAUCACCAGACGCAAUCAGAAAAAUCAGACGUGAUCUUUUGCAUUCUAUUCUCGCUUCCGAUGUAGACAUUUGUCUCAAAUUUUUCUAGUGCUCCACGCUUGGCCGGAGGGGUAGAAGUUGUAGCACCUUGUGUUGGAGGCACAGUUUGAAUUGGAGUUGCAGGUAGAUUUUGAUUUGGAUUUUGAUCUGCCAUAAUUGAAAAUUUAUGUGUAUGCUGAUUUUAGAAAAGAAAAGAGAAGAAUGUUAAUAUUUUUUAUUAUUAAAAUUUAUUACUGUUAUUGGUUCUUAUCUACGUAUAAAUUUAGUAAAACUCCUAAUAAGCGUUAUUGAUUUUUAUAGAAUAAAAUAAUUAAGUGCAAAUCGAAAAUAUGCAUACUAUUCUCAUAUAAUUUGAUUAAAGCAUUUUUUUUAUUUUUCUUAUUAGAAAAUAUUCUUUGUUGUUUUCAUUUUUUUUUUCAUUUUUUCUUUCUUUAUUUUUUGAAAUUUGGUUAAAUCACCACAUGUUUUAUUUGUUGUGUCAAAUAAAUUUUUUUUCAUGUAUUGAGAACUUUUUACUUUAGUAUUGCUAGUUAAUUGUUUUUGCUAUUUAAAUAAUAAUCUUUAAAAUCUUAACUUUUUUUUUUGACAUUUAUCUUAACUAAUUAUUAAUACUUUAAUCAAACAAUAGAAAAUAAUUUAUGCAAAUAUUUUUCAAAAGAAAGUUAUUGCCAAAGAAAUAUACGGAGCCAGAUUUGUUGUAUCUUUGCAUUUUGCGAAAAGACAAUUAAAUGAUAUUGCUAAUUUUUAUUUAGAAUUGUCAAAUACAAGUUGGUUUGUCCAUAUUUAAUUGUAAUGUUUAUCUAUUAUUUUAGUAAAGAAAUUUAAUACUCUUAAAUUAGAAGUUUGAUUUUUUAUAUUAGGUUGCAACGUUUCUCUAUUAUUUCUAUAAGAAAUUUAAUGUUCUUCCAUGAAAUUAUAAAUUGAAGGGAAUGAUGGUGAAAUGAGUUUCUGAAACGACCCGAAAAUUUAAUUUCGUAGAAUUUUCAUUUAAAAAUUAAAUUUUUUAUUUCAACCAAUGAGAUUAUACCAGCUAGUAUUUUAUUAUUGCUAAACUGGACCCGUAAACCAAUUUGAUUUUUCGAAAACCAAGCGAAAAACUCGAAAACCAAGCAAAUUGAGCCAAAUCGUUGAAUCAGAUCAAACCGGUUCGAAUCGAACCGGAAUGAUCUAGAAAACCGACAUACUUUCUUUCUUUCCUUUUUCUUUUUUUUUUUCCCUCUUUUCUUCUCCUCCCCUUGGAAGCGCGCGCGACCCUCUUCUCUUCUUCCUCCCUCCACUGAUUUUCCGGCGACCUUUUCACCACCGAACGGUUCCAGUCCUCCCCUUCAUCGACGGCGAGCUUCUCCCUCUCCUUCUUCGUCUCCGAUUCUGGCGAAGCAUGGGAAUCACGAGCGAGUCGCGAUUCCGUUUCACUCAAGACAGUCGCGUCAUCUGCUUUCACCUUCAAGUUUCCGACAUUUUCCAGCUGAGUAAGUCAAUCCCCAACAUUCAUCAGUUUAAUUUAUGAAUUCCUUGAUCAAAGAUGGAGGUUUUGAAUCGUGAAUAAAACUAUUGCAUAAAUCUAGACCCUAGCUCCUACUGUCAUACAUUUUUUUUGAAGGAAAAAAAAAAUGAUUCUCUAAUUUAGUUUAAAUUAUUAGCUAAGUUAAUGGAUAAGUUUAGCAUGAACAAGGGAAUUUUAGUUAAGAAUAGAUAUAGCAUGAUUAUGACAGCAACAUUAUCGCUAGUACUUGAUCUAUUGCAGGAAUUUAUAAAUUUAGCUACUGUUUAGGCGAAUGUGAAUAGAAAUUUUGAAUUUUUGCUCUUGAAAUCGGUAUAUAAAUGAUUCCUAUAUUGGGAUGGUUAGAUUAUUGCGUUUAUUAUAAAUCCUUGUGAAGAAUUAAGCAUUCUUUAGGUUAAAAAUAAUUAGUUAGCUAUAUGGUCAAGUUCUCGAUAUCCUAGGAAGGAGGAAUUGAAUUGUUUCCAAUUUGAAUGAGUUAUAAACUGAAUUUUUAUUAAAAAAAUGUGCAAAACCAGGGGAUAUAUUAUGGGUACUAAAUAGGAAAUCUUGAAUUCCUUGAGCUAGCAGUAAUUAUUUAGUUGAUUUCUUGAAUUAUAGUGUUUGGGAUGAAUAUGCGAAGUCAUAAACCAAGUUCUUAAUGCGAUAUGAGCUCAAGUUUAAGGAAACAUAUAUUUUUCUUGGGCGCAGUAGCUAUUUCAGGUACUUCGUACCAUUUUAAAUAAUUGGUAUGGAAACAGAUGUAUGUAUAUAUAUUUAUAUUUUCAAUACUCUUAUGUUGGUUAGUGUUGGUUACUGCUUGAUAGCAAUAUUCUUGCAAAUUUAACGGUUCAAUUGUAAAACUCUUUGGCUACAUCUAGAAGUGGCAUCUUUAUGUCAAGAUGGAGAAAUUUAUGAAGCUUUAGUUAUAUGUUUAAGUUUCGAGCUGGGUUAUCUAAUAGAAGUAUUUCUUAAAUUGUCAUUUAAUUGAAAUGUCAGUUCUUAAUAGUUAGUCUAGAACUUUAAUAAAUGUUUAAUGAUAUUUUAUAUAACUUAAGCAAAGAAUUAUUGAUAACAUUCCUAGAUUAGUUGAAGGUAUUUUAAUUUGUAAAUUAUGGUUGAUUGGUGAUAUACUAUUGGAGGCGGAUGGGUAUUUGAUUUGAUCGAUUGCCCGACGGAUGGGUUGUGUGUAUUGAUUGAUAAAUAUAUAAUAAUACUGUGUUAUCUAAACAAGUGGAUAGUCCAAAUUAUAGGGGAGGUGCUGCCGAAAUUUCGUUAGAACUUAAACUAGUUUUAAUUAAUGACAUAAUUAAUAAGUUUAUUUAGAUUAAUUCUAUAACUUAAUAAAUAUUAAAGAGAGUGCUCUAAUUAUUUAAUUAUUUUCAUUAUUAUUUAUUGAAUUAUUGAAUUAUUUAUUUAUUUCCAUUAUUAUAAUUUAUUUUAUUGUUUGUUUAUUCUUAAUAUUAUUUAUUUAUUUAUUUAAUUGCACUUGAGAAUGGUUGUCUAGUUGUGCAUUGCAUUACGUUGUCCAAUUNNNNNNNNNNNNNNNNNNNNNNNNNNNNNNNNNNNNNNNNNNNNNNNNNNNNNNNNNNNNNNNNNNNNNNNNNNNNNNNNNNNNNNNNNNNNNNNNNNNNNNNNNNNNNNNNNNNNNNNNNNNNNNNNNNNNNNNNNNNNNNNNNNNNNNNNNNNNNNNNNNNNNNNNNNNNNNNNNNNNNNNNNNNNNNNNNNNNNNNNNNNNNNNNNNNNNNNNNNNNNNNNNNNNNNNNNNNNNNNNNNNNNNNNNNNNNNNNNNNNNNNNNNNNNNNNNNNNNNNNNNNNNNNNNNNNNNNNNNNNNNNNNNNNNNNNNNNNNNNNNNNNNNNNNNNNNNNNNNNNNNNNNNNNNNNNNNNNNNNNNNNNNNNNNNNNNNNNNNNNNNNNNNNNNNNNNNNNNNNNNNNNNNNNNNNNNNNNNNNNNNNNNNNNNNNNNNNNNNNNNNNNNNNNNNNNNNNNNNNNNNNNNNNNNNNNNNNNNNNNNNNNNNNNNNNNNNNNNNNNNNNNNNNNNNNNNNNNNNNNNNNNNNNNNNNNNNNNNNNNNNNNNNNNNNNNNGCUGGUGACAUGUCAUUUGUGUGACUGGCUGCGUGAGCAUAUAACUAGUCGGAUGACUAGAUAUGUAUUUACACAUUUGUGUGAAUGUGUGUGUUGUGCAAUAAUAGUUACUCCUUAGAAAGCUCACAUAUCUUGUUUAAUUUUUCAGGAAGUAAGUUUCUCUUUAAUUCGGUUAAGCUAUGUUCCUUCGUCGCAGAGCUAGAAAGAAAAUUCUCCUAGAGCAAUAAAUGUUUUGCUAUGUAUCUAGAUGUAUAAAAAUCUAUGUAUAUCUAUUAAUUAGUGACUCCGCAGUUGUAGAAUUUGUAUACAAUUAGUCGUGUAUUAACAUAGACAAUAUAAUUAUGUGAGCCCAUAUUAAAAAUGUAGUCUAUUGUUAAUUGAGCCCAAACUGUGGAAUGUUGUAGCUGAUAAAUUUGGGCCGAGAUUUAAUAAAAUCUUGAGAUUUAUUUUCCUAUAAACAUGGGCUGAAUGUUUAAUAUUAUAUUGAGAUAGUAAAUUUUUAGUGUUUCAGACUUACUACGGGUCUCGGGGGCCUUAAGCUUACCUGGGCCCUAGUGCCGGUCCGGCCCACGGAAUCGGGUCGUGACAGUUUCAAACCAAGAGAUAAAGGAUUUUUGUCUUGGCUAUUAGACCAAGAAUUCAUCCGCUUUUGUUAUAAUUAUAAUUGAAUAAAAAAAAGUAUUCUUGGACAUUUUAGACGUGAAAGAUCUUAUUUUUAGUAGUAAAAUUGGACAUAAGUAGAAAAGAAUAUAUACGAUGGUGCGAAUAUUUGAUUUUAUGAAAUUCAAUGAUUAUAUAUUAUGAUUUUAUAUGAAUUUUGAUUUUUAUUUAAAAAAAAUUUAUGUUUCAUACGUGCAAGAUAUGGCUUGGCAUAAGAUCUGAAAGCAUUUUUUUCAUUUAAAGAUUGUUUUGAGUUAGAAAAUGCAUCUCUCAUAGAUUUAAAAAAAAAAUAUAUAUCCAUCUCAUAAUUGAUAGUAUUGUUAAAAAAGCCAAUAUUUGAAUAUAUCAAGAUUCUUUUUCUUUUAUGUGAUUCCUCAUUUUCCGAUAUUAAUAAUAUGAGCUGGCCUUUUCACUGAUUAAAAAAAACCUUUGAAAUCUACACAAAAUCUUGUAAGCAUUUUACUAAUAGAAACAUGAUUUUUAAAAAUUCUUAAUAAUAAAUUUAAAUUUAAAUUUAAAAAAUUAUAAUUAAAUUUAAAUAUUAAUCCUUAGUAAUAUAUGUCUUUUUUUUAUAUUAAAUUUUGAUACUGAAAUAUGAUUUUCUUUUAUUUUUAAAAUACAUAAAUAUUAACCGUUAUCAUAAUAAUUGAGUUCAUGUAGUAGUCAUUUAUCUAAUUGAAAUAUUAAGAUUAUAAUUAAUUUUAAUUAUUAUUUUUUUUAACGUGAAUUAUAAAAGAUCAAUAAGUUGGUAAGUUCAAAUAUUAGUUAUUUAAUAAUAUUAUUAGUUAUAAGAUAAGUCUUUGUCAAAUCAAAAGAAUUUUUUAAUGCAAAAAAUGGUUACAAAUUUUAAGUUGAAUAAUAAUUAAAUCUAUCAGAGUUUAGAUAAUUAUAUUUAAAAUUAAUUUGUAUGGCCUUAUUAAGUUUAAAAUUUAUUUAUAAUUUUAUUAAUUUAAAAAAAAAUGUAAUCAAUUUUAUAAAAUCAAAAACCUGAAUUAUAAUGAACUCGUGUUUAUAUUAAAUGUAAAAAAUGUAAAUUUAUAAAUAAAUUAUAUAAAAUUUACUUAGACCAAGUAAGAUUCAAAGAAAACCAUUAAAUUGUACUUUAUAUUUCAUAGAAUUUAUGAAUAAUUUUAAUUUUAUCUUUUUACAUAUUUACUAAAUAAGAAAAUCAUGAUACAUUAUAUUAUUAAUAAAUUUUACUUCAUAAUUUUAUAUUUCAUAAUAAUAAUAAUAAAUAAAUAAAUAAAAACAAAUUUUACUUCAUAAUCUUAUAUUUCAUAAUAAUAAUAAUAAUAAAUAAAUAAAUAAAAUAAGCAACAUAUAAAUUUGAUUAAUAUUAACUAUAUCAAUUGAAUUAUUAUGCUUAUUAUUGAAGUUUUAAUGAUAAAUUUCAACUUAAUUCGUCUGACAUUUGCUCACUAUGAAAAUAUAUUCCGUUUCUACGAACACACAAAUUUUUUUCCGCUUCACUGUAAACGACAUGAAAAAUAAAAUUCUCGAAUCAAACGGCAAGAGUAUUUAUAUUGCUAAUUAAAACAAAAGAAGCCAUUUCUGUAAUCUAUCAACGUAGCAAUUGUACAAUAAUAUUAGACUUGAUCCAGUAAUGGUUGCCGGCACAGCGGACACGAUGAGUGUAACAACAACCAUUUAUCUACACAUUUCACAUGAAAACCAUGGUUACAUUUUGGCAAAAUUCUAAACUUUUCACCUUGUUCAAAUUCUCCGAGACAAAUCGGACAUUCUGUUACCGGAGUAUUUAGCUCUGAUUCAUAUGCUACCCCCGGAAUCUGCUUCAAUGUGCUUUUCUUCAGUCCAGUAGCUUCAGCUGUAGCUGUUGGAGUAGUCUCAGACACAAAUCUAUACCCACAUCUUAUAGCACAACGUACAAUAGGUAUUGCAUCGGGGUUAAUGAAGCAGGGUGCAAUGAUGACUGUGUUAAGCACUUUUGUGACAGCCUUGGCCUGGCCAGCAACUUUACUCGCAGCUACUGAUUUUAUAGAUAGCACUUGGACAAUUGCUAUUGACAGGUUAGCUUCUCUUAUAUGGACAGUGAUUGGAAUACUUACAUGGGCAGAUAGCAGAGUGAAAUAAAUGCCUUCCAAUUCCACAAAACUGUCUGCUUUGCACAUUAAUAGGCACCCGAAAUUAUGUUGCCUGAUGAAAUUGUUUAUAUUGUAAUAAAUGCAACUGGCGGGGAUAAUGUAUUAUUGUCAACUCGGUUUAUAUUGUCUACCAUUUUCUAGAUCAGACAAAGCAGGAAGAUUGCUAGCUGAUGUGUUAUUGAAAGUACUGCAAGGGAACAGGUAAACAGGUUAUAAUUUAUUUCGAAGUGUUGUCAUUUUAGUGCCCCAUUUUUUCAAAUAAAUAAAUAAAUAAAAUAAAAGUUUACUCUAUUUCACUCCUGCCUUUGACUUUCUGCAAAUCUUUCAGGCCCGUGACACUUGUGGGUUACUCUCUUGGAGCUCGAGUGAUUUUCAAGUGGCUUGAGACUUUGGCUGAGACUGAAUAUGGUGGUAAUGUACAUUAGCCGUCCUUAAAGUGGGAUGCAAAAUCUUAGUGCAAUCCUUAUGCGAUUAUUCUGAACUUGACAGCUGAACUUGUAGAAAGAGUUGUUCUUCUUGGAGCUCCUAUCUCUAUUAAAAAUGAGAAGUGGGAAGCAGCAAGAAAGGUGAUUGGAGUUCCAUCAUUGGAAGCAUCCUUUGCCAUUUCUUCACAAAUAUUUUUCUUGCUGUAUACUUUUAUUAUAAUCCUCUGCAAAGGCCUCAAUCAGUUUAUGCUGUUUUCCAGAUGGUGGCUGGCAGAUUUAUAAAUGCCUAUUCUAGAAUGACUGGACACUUGGAGUUGCUUUUCGUGCAAGGUAUCCAUUAUAUGGAGGGCCAUAGUGGAGAAUGUUUCUGAAAGAUUGAUACAUGAUAUAUGCCUGGGGAUCACUGAAUGCUUCAUUGUCAAAAUAUCUAAGCAAAUUGAUGAUUUCAUAUCCAUUAAGGCUUUGUUUGAGAUUUGAGUUUGAAGCUGGUUGCAUAACUGCGUUGACUAUCCAUUUAUUGCUAAAAUUUUUUAAUUGUUUUUGGAAAACCAUGGUUUGAAGGAAGCUAAAGUCCACCUUUUCCCAUAUUAUGUUUUGCUAGGCCUUGAACAUUGUAAGGACAGUCUGCCAAAAGCAGUCCUAUCACUAUCCCAAAGGGGUACUAAAGACCAUGUCCCCUGUCCAAGCAUAAGCAAUUAAAUAAAUAUGUGGGCUUGGGGUUCUUGAGUUCAUUUUGCCCUUCAUAAAAUUUAUACUCAUCUUGCUCGAGUUACAGGCCAACUCUUUUCUGUUAUUGCAAUAAUUAUUAGAAUUACGAGAUCAUUUGCUUGUGGAUGAUGUUGUCUUGUUCUCUGAGAAGAUCAUUAAUAAAUCUGACUUAAGGACAGGGGUGUUUAGCAUAGUUGUGGGAGGCUAAUUGAUAGUUUUUGACCCUUGGCAGUCGGGUCAACCAUCUACUUGAUUACAGUAAAUCAGUUGUUGGUAGAGGCACUCUACUUAUUCAAAAAUGUAUCUGUAUGGGGAAAAAAAUCUGUUUAGCAUAAACACCUACACAACGUUAAUUGAAUUUAUUUAUUGAUGAUUUACAUUAUUAUUUGAUUUGUAUACCUUAAAUACUCAUUUGACAUCUUAACAACAAUUAGCGGAUUUUACCAAAUGGUUGAACAUUUAUUAGCUUCUAGCUAUCAACAAUUGCUACCAACUAUUAGCUAUUAGCUGCCUAAAGUACCCCUAAAUUUUUAUAAUGCGAUUAGCUAUGCAACUAUAUAAAUGGUGAUUGCCAUUAGAUUUUCACAUUCCUUACUUGUUUAUACUGUCAUUAGUCCCUUUUCUGGUCAAAGCAUGUUAGGCAUUAUAUGCUGUCACUGGUUAAUAAUGAAAGUUCAAAUCCUCUUGAGUAAUUCAUUUACCAGGUACAAUUUGAAUCUUUUCUCAACUGCUGUAGACAUUCCUUUUUUUUUUUUUUUUUUUUUUUUUGAGCAAAAGUAUUUGUUUGUCCAAUCUUUUACGAACCAUAGAAAUUUUAGUUGUUAUUUAAAAACCAACUGUCAACUUGUGAAUAAUUUUAAAAACUAAUUGUUUGUUUUCUUAACAGUCUUUUUACUCAAGGAUUAGCCGGAAUUCAACCAAUUGACGUUCCAGGAAUCGAGAAUGUAAGGGGUGUCUCAUUCUUUCUCUCUCUCUCUCUCUCUCUCUCUUUUGUUGUUCCCCGGUAUCAGCUUCAAUUUUUUUAUUCCAUCAAAGAGAGUUUAAAAAUAUGAUUGUACUUUUUCGUGCUCUGCAGGUCGAUGUUACUGGUAUUAUUGAAGGCCACUCUUCAUAUCUAUGGGCUACACAACAGAUUUUGGAACAACUUGAAUUGGAUGCUUAUUAUCCUGUUUUCAGAAACACAGUCCACCAGCGCAAAUAGAGAAUUUCUGGCAAAUUGUUUUCACUCCAAAUUGAAAUUAGACUUCCAAUUCUUGAUGAACUCAAGAUUUAUGAUUUUGCUUUAGAAGUUUGCGUCUAAUUGUGGGGGAAGUCAUGUUUCUGAUUGACCUAACUCGGGUUUCUCAUGGUUCUAUCUUUGUUGCUUUUCUUGCACAUAUUACAGAUGAGAAGAAAUAUGUUGGUUACAACUCUAUUAAUGAGUGAUAUAUCGACAUCUUUCUCUCUCCCAGGUCGAUGAACUAUGUACUUAUUCUAUCUUAUGAAUUUAGUUCGUUUGUAUAGUGAAAUUUAAUUGUCAGGAUCUGUAACUUGAAAAAUUAAUUUACUAGCAAAUGUUAUAAGUUCCAAAUAUUAGAUCUGGGUUUAGAUAUUUUUUUCCUUCGUUGAUAGAGACUUGGGUUAAAGUAAUGCAAUGGAAGUUAAUGUUUCUCCUUUUAUUUUUAACUUGUUUUUGUAUGGAAUUUUAUAACCAGUGAUUGGGGAAUUUAGAAUUUGGAUUUUGAUGUUAGAUAUCCUCAAUUAUUUUAUUUUCAAGUGAUGCUAUUUUUAGUGUGUGAAUGAGAAACAAGAGUGAUUUCCUUUUUUCAAUUUUUUAUUUGUUCCUUGUUUUUUUUUUUUUCAUUGUCACACACGCACGUGUGUGUAUAUAUAUAUAUAUAUGUGUGUGUGUGUGUGUGUUCUUUCCUUUGUCACGAAUGAAAGAAGUACAAGUUUUAGCAUAAAUAUUUAUUGAUUCUUUUCUUAACUUGAUGAUCAACACCGGCAAGAUUGAGGAACAGAAAAAAAAAAAAAAAAAAAAGCAUUCAUUUUUGUGGAUAUAAUUAAUAUUCUAAUAUCAAAAUACAAUCAACUUAACUACUAAGGAACAUAAUAUGCUAAAAGAUAUUAUAUUGGUGAUAGUUAAAUUUCGAAUGAGAUCUUAGCAAGAAACCAGAACAUAUUGUGAAACUCAAAAAUUCAAAAUAGAGAAAUGGAAAUAUCACUUGAGAAGGAUAAUCUAGAACAACCAAAACUCCCCAAUCAAAAUUCCCAAUCAUCAUAGCCAUGAAGGGUCCUUCAAGUAUAAAAAAGAGCGAAAUAUCUCGUAAAAUAGCUGCAUUUCUUCAAUAUCCUCUAAUUGAUGAAGAAGAUAUCACCCCUUACCUUCAAAAUUUCAUUCCAAGCUCCUCCAUUGAAUCUUACCCAUUGCCUUUCAAAAUUGCCUCUCAAAUCUGUUCAACCCAACUCGAUUCAAAACUCGGAGUUAUCCUCAAUACUCCACUAUCUAAUAAUACUCAAUUCCAUGAUUUAGAGCAGCUUGCAACUUCUAAAGAUGUCUCUCUAAUUAUCANNNNNNNNNNNNNNNNNNNNNNNNNNNNNNNNNNNNNNNNNNNNNNNNNNNNNNNNNNNNNNNNNNNNNNNNNNNNNNNNNNNNNNNNNNNNNNNNNNNNNNNNNNNNNNNNNNNNNNNNNNNNNNNNNNNNNNNNNNNNNNNNNNNNNNNNNNNNNNNNNNNNNNNNNNNNNNNNNNNNNNNNNNNNNNNNNNNNNNNNNNNNNNNNNNCAAAGGUAAUGUUGAUGUUAUUGAGACCACUUUCACAGAGAGACAUGCACAUGAAUUUUCAUUCAUUGAAGACCAUUCCAUUUCUAGUUUUGAGAAGCUCAAAUGCAACUGUUGCCAACAACUCAUUUCUGGUAAAAUCUAUUAGUGCGUUGAAUGUGAUGAAUUCAUCCUCCACAAAGCUUGUGCAGAAUUAAAUCACGAAUUAAUUGGUUUGAGGGAAAAUUGUCCUCCUUUUUUUAAAAAAGUUCCAUUUGAUUAUGAUUUUCCUAAUCAAUAUAAAUGUAAUCUCUGCCAAAAAUUCUCAAAAUUUUGUUCUGAUUGCCUACUUCAAACCCAUAUCCAAAGUACAUUUUUACCCACUAUUAUUAAAUAUAAAGGUCAUGUACACGCUCUUAAUUUUAUUAUAAUGCCACGAUGGGUCAAUUUCCAAUUCAAAUGCUCGAAUUGUGAUAAAAUCGGAAAUUCUAUUAGCUACAAAUGUUACGAGUGUAAUUUUGUUCUUCGCGUCGUUGGUGUUUGGCCGCCACCGCCGAAGCAGUUGCGGCGGCAGCGGCAGCUGGAGCAGCAGCUGCCGCAAAAGCUGCUGCAUUAUCUCUUGUAUUGCCCGGACGAGCCGCACAUGCGGCGGCUGCAGCAGGAGGAGGAGCCACAGUAGCGGCGUCAGCAGCAGCAGCGGGGUCAGCGGCUGAACUUCUCAGGGAGGCGUGACUUCGGUUAAAAGGAUCUCAGUCAAAAGGAAGAUAUUUCGAGAAAUCUAAUUACACAUCUUUAUAGAAAGGAGAAGACCGAUCAAAGAAUAUGUUUGGUGUUUUUUUUUUUAUUUCCAGGUUCUAUACAUAAUAUAAAUGUAUGGAUUUGUUAUGGGAUUUGCUAAGUAAGCUCUAUUUUCUUUCUUUUAUUUCCUUAGUUUCCUUCGUUUUCUAAUUAAUCGGUCUUUGCAACAAAUGCGAAAAAAUCCAUUUUUGCUUAGAUUUUAUUAAAAAGACUUGCAGUAAUUAAAUUAUUAUGUUAUGCAUAUAGUGUAAUAUAAUUAAUGUAAUGAAACGAACUUCAAAUUAAAAAUUAUUGUUCUUUUAAAUUAUUCUGCUUAUAUGCCACCAAAAUUUCAAUCUCCGAGUGCUACAACUAAAUACGAAUUUAAUAAUUAUAUUACAAUUUAUAAAUGUGCAAAAAAGAUAUUUGGUAAUUUAUUUACUAAUAUAAGGGUGUGUUUACUUGUAGAAAAACUUGAAUAGUUUUCUAGAAAAGUUUUUUAAAAAAACUGGAAAAUAGAGUUUUGCAUUCAGCUUUCUAUUUAAAAAAUUAAAAAACAGUUUUUCAGUUAUCCAAAAUUUAACUAAAUUUAGAAAACAGGUUUAAAUUGUUUUUUACCAGUUUUUCUUUAAUACAAAAGAUAUGUUUUUUAACUGUUUUCUAUUUUAAAAAAAUGAUAUUUUCAUAAUAAAAGUUACAAUAUCUAAAAAUGAUUUUUUUAAUGAAAUAUUUUCAAUAAAAAAAUAAAAAUAUAUUUAAAUAAUACAAAAAAAUUUAUAUUAUGCUUUAAUAUAUAAUUAAUUUUACUAUUAUAAGUAUACUAUAUCCUUUAUUUUCAAAAAAUUUACAAAUCGAUAAAAACUGAUAUUAUUAUUAUUAUUAUUAUUAUUAUUAUUAUUAUUAUUAUUAUAAUAAAUAAUUAAUCAUAAAAAUUCAAAAACUUUUAAAUAAAAAAUUUCUAAAAUUAUUUUAGAAUAUUUUAUUUCUUUAAUUAAAAAGUUAUAAAUAAUGUUUUGUUACCAAGUGAAUACCUUUUCAGUUCUUUAUUGUUUUCUAAGUAUCCUCCACUCAAAAUUCCUAUUACAUAGUUUAACGUUUCAUAAAACUAGAUAAAAGACCACGCUUUACACGGAUUAAUUUAUCAAUUUGGAAUUUGUAAUUCAUAAACGAAAUAUAUUUAUAAUAUAUAAGAUGUACUGAUUUAUUUUUCUGCAUGUUACUUUAUUAUAUUACAGUGUUAUAUGUGAAUUAUAAUUUUGUUAAUUUAUUUAAAUAACUGUAAACAUCAAUUAAUCCUAUCAAAUUUUUAGUUAGAGUUUAUAAUUCAAACAAUUUUAAACACUAUUUCUUAUUCUAGAUAAUUCUAUAUAAAUAAAAUUCUACAAUUCAAAUAUUGCAAUGUGAAUAAUAUACAACAAAAUUUUGUAUAAUUUAAUUAUUUAAGGAUACAAUAUUAAUUUUUAAACUUAAAAAAUCCAAAGAAAAGAUAAAAGAAAAAAAAGAAAUAUAUAAUUACAAAAAGUUCAAAUUAUCUAUAUAUGGAGAGGGAAAUAAUUUCAAGUGGACAAAAUUGCAGCAACUCUAACUGACUUAUGUGUAUCUACAUCAAAUUAUCCUCUAAGUAAAAGCUAGUCAUUUUUAAGAAAAUUAUUUUGAAUACUUGAAGAAUUCAUAUCUACAAACAAAUUAUUCUCUUGUAUGGAGUCGUUUUCAUUUUGUUAUCUAAUAAUCUUGGUAUUUAUAUCACUGCAUGUAUCCAUGAUUUUUAAUUGAAAAUCUAAAUUCAAACAAGAAUAGAUAGAUGUAUAAAAUUAACUUUCUAUCUCUUUGCUGUCCAAUCUUUUGUGUCUGCAAUAUAGAAAACAGGCAUAUGGUAUAGUAAACUUUUAAAUAGAAUAAAUAACAAAAUGUUAUAAUUUCACAGGUCAAAGCCAUAGUUUUACAUUUUUUAAGCUAAUAUUUUCUAACUCCUUUAUUCAUAAGCUCGCCUGCCUGCAUUUCAGGUACAUAAUAAACCAAUUGACUCUGUGUUGGGAUCCUUUUUCAGAGUAUAAACGAUGAAAUAGGACACAACAAAUGACUUGCGUUUCUUGUUUUGCUUUGAUUUUGCUAGAAGGCGGAAACCUUUGGGUAAUUAUUUAAUUCAAUAUUUCAAAGUCAAAGUCCAAAUGGAAUUCCAUAUUAUGAUUUUUUUGCUCCUGAAGGUCCUACUAUCAGUAAAAUUCUGAAUCAAAAUACAAAUCAAGCUCCGUUUCAUUAUUUUAUGGAGUUCCCUCAUCGACCAUCUGCACCUGCUUAUCAUGUUGCUCCUCCAGUUCAAAUUCAAGGUGCGGCAAAAGCUACUCAACUCCACCAUAAUGGAAAUCAAGUUCCUCCAAUUCAAGGUGGUAUGGCUUCCGCCCCUCGCCUCAAUCAUAUCCAGCGUGCAAAUGGAUUUGCUCUCCGUUCUAAUGGAAGUUAUGCUUGGGAUAAUUAAAAAAUAAAGAGUUAGAUAUCAUUAAUAUUAUUAUAUUAGAGAGAGAACUAUAAUUAAUAUUAUUAUUACAUGACAUAUUAUCAUCUACUGAAAUAAAACUACAUUCACGUCAUCUUCUUUCAUAACUUAACAAGAGCAUCAAUACUACCAGGAGUUACAUUUCAAAUUUGAGAACGAGGAUAAGCACAAGCUCUUCUAGGCUCUAGCAAGAGCAUCAGCAGAGUUGUUUGCUUAUACAUCAUUAAAUUGGUUCAUAAGAUGUUUUGAGCCUUUAAUCACCAGACGCAAUCAGAAAAAUCAGACGUGAUCUUUUGCAUUCUAUUCUCGCUUCCGAUGUAGACAUUUGUCUCAAAUUUUUCUAGUGCUCCACGCUUGGCCGGAGGGGUAGAAGUUGUAGCACCUUGUGUUGGAGGCACAGUUUGAAUUGGAGUUGCAGGUAUAUUUUGAUUUGGAUUUUGAGAAAAGAGAAGAAUGUUAAUAUUUUUUAUUAUUAAAAUUUAUUACCGUUAUUGGUUUUUAUCCACGUAAGAAUAUAGUAAAACUCCUGAUAAGCGUUAUUGAUUUUUAUAGAAUAAAAUAAUUAAGCGCAAAUCGAAAUAUGCAUACUAUUCUCAUAUAAUUUGAUUAAAGCAUUUUUUUUUAUUUUUUCUUAUUAGAAAAUAUUCUUUGUUGUCUUCAUUUUUAUUUAUUUUUUCUUCCUUUAGUUUCUGAAAUUUGGUUAAAUCACCACAUGUUUUAUUUUUUUUGUGUCAAAUAAAUUUUUUUCAUGUAAACAUUUUGGGAUUUUCCAAUAAACUGAUGUAUUGAGAACUUUUUACUUUAGUAAUGCUAGUUUUUUUUUUUUUUUUUUUUUUUUUUUAAAAUAUUAUUUUUUAUAUUUUAAAUUAAUUUUUUUAUUAAACAAUAGAAAAUAAUUUAUGCAAAUAUAUUUCAAAAGAAAGUUAUUGUCAAAGAAAUAUACGGAGCCAGAUUUGUUGUAUCUUUGCAUUUUGCGAAAAGACUAUUAAAUGAUAUUGCUAAUUCUUAUAUAGAGUUGCCAAAUACAAGUUGGUUUGUCCAUACAAGUUGGUUGCAACGUUUCAGUAUUAUUUCUGUAAGAAAUUUAAUGUUCUUGAAUGAAAUUAUAAAUUGAAGGGAAUGAUGGUGAAGUGAGUUUCAAACCAAGAGAUAAAGGAUUUUUGUCUUGGCUAUUAGACCUAAGACUUCAUCCGCUUUUGUUACAAUUAUAAUUGAAUAUAAAAAAAAGUAUUCUUGGUCAUUCUAGACAUGAAAGAUCUUAUUUUUGGUAGUAAAAUUAGACAUAAAUAGAAAACAAUAUGUAUGAUGGUAUGGAUAUUUGAUUUUAUGAAAUUCAAUAAUUAUAUAUUAUGAUUUUAUAUGAGUUUUAAUUUUUGUUUAAAAAAAUUUAUGUUGCGUACAUGCAAAAUAUGGUUUUACAUAAAAUUUGAAAGCAUUUUUUCGGUUUAAAGCUUAUUUUGAGUUAGAAAAUACAUGUCUCAUAGAUUUAAAAAGAAAAAAAAGUUUAUAUCAUAAUUGAUAGUAUUAUAAAAAAAACCAAUAUUUGAAUAUACCAAUAUUCUUUUUCUUCUAUGUGAUUCCUCAUUUUUAGAUAUUAAUAAUAUGAACUGACCUUUUUACUGAUUAAAAAAAAAACUUUGAAAUCUACACAAAAUCUUGUAAGCAUUUUACUAAUAGAAACAUUAUUUUUAAAAACUAAUUUUUAAAAAAUAUCUUUACACAUUAUCUAUACUUAUUGUUUAUAUUCGUGAUUUAAUAUUUUUUAAUAAUAAAUUUAAAUUUAAAUAUAAAAAUUUAUAAUUAAAUUAAAUAUUAAUCCUUUGUAAUAUAUGUCUUUUUUUUAUUAAAUUUUGAAACUGAAAUAUGAUUUUCUUUUAUUUUUAAAACAGAUAAAUAUUAACCAUCAUCAUAAUAAUUGAGUUCUAUGUAGUAGUCAUUUAUUAUUAUAAUCUAAUUGAAAUAUUAAGAUUAUAAUUAAUUUCAAAUAUUAUUUUUUUUAACGUGAAUUAUAAAAGAUUAAUAAGUUGGUAAGUUCAAAUAUUAGUUAUUUAAUAACAUUAUUAUUUAUAAGAUAGGUCUUCGCUAACUCAAAAGAAUUUUUCAAUACAAAAAAAUGGUUAUAAAUCUUACGUUGAAUAAUAAUUAAAUCUAUCAGAGUUUAGAUAAUUAUAUUUAAAAUUAAUUUUAAUAAUUUGUGUGGCCUUAUUAAGUUUAAAAUUUAUUUAUAAUUUUAUUAAUUUCAAAAAAAAGGUUCAAAUGUAAUCAAUUUUAUAAAAUCAAAAACCUGAAUUAUAAUGAACUUUUGUUUAUAUUAAAUAUAAAAAAUGUAAAUUUAUAAAUAAAUUAUAAAAUUUACUUAGACCAAGUAAGAUUCAAAUAAAACUAUUAAAUUGUACAUUAUAUUUCAUAGAAUUUAUCAUUAAUUUUAAUUUUAUCUUUUUACAUAUUUGACUAAAUAAGAAAAUCAUGAUACAUUAUAUUAUUAAGAAAUUUUACUUCAUAAUUUUAUAUUUCAUAAUAAUAAAAAUAAAUAAAUAAAUAAAACAAAUUUUACCUCAUAAUCUUAUAUUUCAUAAUAAAAAUAAAUAAUAAAUAAUAAAUAAAUAAAAUAAGCAACAUAUAAAUUUGAUUAAUAUUAACUAUAUCAAUUGAAGUAUUAUGCUUAUUAUUGAAGUUUUAAUGAUAAAUUUCAACUUAAUUCGUCUGAUAUUUGCUCACUAUGAAAAUAUAUUCUGUUUCUUCGAACACACAAAUUUUUUUUCCGCUUCACUGUAAACGACAUGAAAAAUAAAAUUCUCGAAUCAAACGGCAAGAGUAUUUAUAUUGCUAAUUAGAACAAAAUUGUACAAUAAUGUUAGACUUGAUCCAGUAAUGGUUGCCGGCACAGCGGACACGAUGACUGUAACAAUAACCAUUUAUCUACACAUUUCACAUGAAAACCAUGGUUACAUUUUGGCAAAAUUCUAACCUUUUCACCUUGUUCAAAUUCUCCGAGACAAAUCAGACAUUCUGUUACUGGAGUAUUUAGCUCUGAUUCAUAUGCUACCACCGGAAUCUGCUUCAAGGUGCUUUUCUUCAGUCCAGUAGCUUCGGCUGUAGCUGUUGGAGUAGUCUCAGACACAAAUCUAUACCCACAUCUUAUAGCACACCGUACAAUAGAGUUUAGACCAAGAGCAAACAUUAAUGCACAUAACAAAGCUGCUAAUAUUAUAACCAUGUUGUUAUCGAAAUUUGUUGACUUGCUUGCAUAGUAAUUACUACUUGUUUUGUCUUCAUGGUUAUUGGGAGCCAUACCUAUCUCCUUGUCCAAGAAUAGGCGAUGUUGGUGCCGGUGGUACACAGAUUUCUCCAUGUUCUUUACCUGUUUGAUGAAAUGUCUAGGUGAGUUUUUGAAGAGAAAGCAAAAGAAGCAACACUUGAAUUUUUAAGCUUAAUAAUCGGUAUAUGUGUUACAAAUAUUCCAAACAGAUAAAAGGAAGCAUCUAAUUUUGUUAGAGAGGAUAAGGGAAAGGAGUAUUGAAUUUAUUAGUGGUUAUCCAAAAAUUUGGGACCAUAGAAAUGCCAUAUUGUGUCAAAUUGUUCAUAAAAUGGUCCUACUUUGCCUUAUGAAGAAGAAAAAGAAGAAAGCAAGUGAAAGGGAGAGUUUGGCUUUAUUUAGAUUCAUGUUCAGUGACAUUAUUGGUCCAAUCUGUUCCUAAUACAGUGUUUGUAGGCGAAAGAAACACAGUGCAAUGAGAGACUAAGAUAUUUUUGUUUUUGUUUUUGUUUUUUUUCUUGAAAGGACUAAGAUAUUUUUGUUAAGACCAAAGAAUUUGUGGUUUGGCAACUUUCAGUUGUGUAUAAUCUUUAGGACUACUUCAGAUUUGGGACAGUUGAUAUAGUUUUCUCUCUAUUUCUUGGCACACAAACAGUGAGUUAGGGAUUACAGCUCUAUAACUCCUAACAAUAUGUUGCUAUUUAGGAUUUUAAAUGGAGUCCAAUUAGCUAAAAAGACUUUGGUUUAGUGAUCAAGUGAACUAAAGUCUAUCCCAAGAGGGUUAGCUUAAUGGAAACCACACUGGACAAAUUUUUGAUGAUCCUGGAUUCAAUUCUUGGGGGCAUCCAAGUUUAAACACAUCAAUGUCUAUGGAUCAUAACUCCUAUGUGUACUGGAGAUUUACCCGAUCCAUAUAAAGGAGGCAUUUGUAUGAAUCCGAGGUAGAGAGUAGGAACUAUGUCUGUCAUAAUUCCCUGCCAUCUUAUCCUUAUCUUAUCUCCUCGGAGUUUUGUUGGAUUUUUUUUAAUUUAUAUAUUUUGACAUUGUUGAAUUAUAUCAUUUAUCAUAGAUAACAUGUCCAAUAUGUUACUUUAUAUGGGGGUAUAACAAGGUAUGCAUUUCUAUAAAAGAAUGUACCUAAAAACAAAAACAUUCAAAGCCCUAUUCAUGUUGAAUAUAGAAAAUAUUAGAAUAUAAUCAUAGAUGUCGAUCUCUUUUUACUUAACCCUCAAGAAAGGUCAAAAUAGUAAAAAUUAAUGGAUUCUUUUAAUGUAAAAAAAAAAUUUCUUGACAUCCAUCAUGAUUAUGUAAUUGCUAAUGUUCAAAUAAAGUUUUAGAAGAAAUAGUUAGCAUAUCUAAAAAUGAGUAACUAAUAUAGGAUUUUACAUGACCAUAUAUGGUUAUAUAUUAUAGGCUAUGAAAUAUAGAAUUAUUUAAUGAUGGCAAUAAAAUCAUGUAAAAAAAAACCAUUAUUCACGCUUUAAUUCAUUUAUUUAUGUUCAUUGAUUUGCUUAUAAAAUUACACGAUUUUUUCCAGAUUAUAAGAUUGUCUAAUUAAGUUGUGCUAAUCUUCUUAUUUAAUAUAAGAUUUAAAAAUAUUAAUGUUCUUAAUUAUUUGAGUUGCCCUAAAAUUCUAUAAAAAGGUUUUAUAAGUACACCUAUCCCAGAAAAAAAGAUCACAGCAAAAUAGAGCAAUCUUUUUCAUAUUUUAAAGGAACAAUCCCUCAAGUGUUGAAGCCAUGGAAGGAGGUUUGAGUGAGCUAGAUCUACAAUGGAGGUGGAGAAUCCAAAGGAUGGAGAAUGGUUCAGCAAAUACUGCUUCCACAAACAACUUAUGGAAUGCAGCUAAAAAACAUAUUGGCAAAGCAUUCAAAAAAUUGCUAGGAAUAAGAAGUACGAGAAUAACUCCUAAUUAAUUUGGAAUAAACGAAAUUUCAUUGAAUUUAUUUAAGAAUUAUUUUACUUUCCACCACUUUUUGUAAUAAAAAAAUGUGAUCGUCAAAGAUAUUUACGUGUCAAUUUUUAAGUAUUAUAAGUAAAUUCGUUAUCUGAAUGUAUAGAUUAAAAUAUACAAGGUGAUGUAUGACAAGUAUUAUUAAUUAAAUAAAGUAAUAAUACUUCUUUUUUGUUUAUGUCUAUAUUUCUUCUUUUUAGAGGCAUGGUACCUCUUGAUGUAAUCAAUUAAUUGAAAGUGAAGUAAUUGAUUGAGUAAUUUCUAAAUUAGCUUGUAAUUGAAAUUUUAAUAAAGAAAAAGUAAGAUACUUGUUAAUUAAAUGCAAGAAUAAUAUGCUUUUUUUCUUUAUGUUUAUUUUUCUUUUUUAGAGGCAAGUAAAUAAUUUUUUAAUUAAUUCUAUAUAGCGCCUUGUUUCUUCAGAAUUCCAAUUUGCUCAAGUCUGGUUGAUUUUUUUUUUGAAAAAUAUAAUUCAUUAAUAAUAAAAUUAAGUAUCAGACCAGACAUAAAACUUACUAUUAUAAUUAAUAAAAAGUUUGUCGAUCCUUCGAUAACAAAAGAAUUAUUCAUAUUCUUUUAAAUAGUAAAACUAAAAUUAAAAGAAACAAUAUUGAAGUUUUUCGUUUGAAACUAACCUUGAUCGAUAUAAAUGGUAACAACUAGUCCUUUAAUUGAUUUGGACGACAAAAUAAUUUCUCUGAAUCUUCUAUACUUGAAUUGCUUUUCCAAAAACUUGUUGCAUAUGAAGUACACAUAUGAAUUCAAGCCACUAUGUGUUAAUAGCACCAAUGGAAUAACAUUCCGUACUACCAGCCUUCAUUUAUCGAAGAUACACAUCAGUAAAGCAAGAUCCAAAUUCUCUAACCAAAUAAAAUCAAAUAUCAUACAUUUUAAUAAUAACCUUCACAAAAAAAGAAUUAAACCCUCACGGAUGGAAGAAGGUGCAAAAUAACUCCACAUAUACAGACAAAACAACAAUAACAAAAAAACAAAGAAAAAACAUAUCUAUUAUAAGAAAAUAAAUUUGAGUUAAUUAAAAACAAAUAAAAGAUUAAGUGCGAGAAUAAAAAAAACAGCGGCAAACCCAAACAAAAACUAGCCUUGGAUGAAUUAGAGAGAAAAGAGGAAGAGAGCAAUGCUAAAACAAGUCUGAUUGAUUAUUAGGAUUUGUCUUAUGUUCAAAAAAUACAACAAUGAUGCAGUUUUAUGUAGAUUUGGAGUUUAAUUAUAUUUAUAAUCCAAGCAAUUAUAAAUUUUUAUAUUUUCUCAAAAAAAAGAUAAAUGUUUUAAACAACUAUCUAACAGAGUAUUGACUUCUUCAAAAGAAAAAAAAAAAAAAAAAAAAAAACUAUUUCUUAAUCAUUCAUUUUAAGGGAGCUUUGAUAGAUGGAUAUGUGCCCCAACCGUUUAUGAAAUUACUAAUAAACAAAGGGGAAAAAAAUAUAAAGAUAAAAGAUAAAGAUAUUAUUUAUUUCAAUAGAUGAUAAUAUAUGGCAUAUGAAAAUUAUAUGACAUAAUAGAUAAUUUUUUAAGCAAAUGAUUAGGUAUUUAUUUUCUUUUAAAAAUUUUUGAACACAAUUUUCAUUUAAUUUUUCUUUUCUAUUUUUAACUACUUUAAUUUUUUAACUUUGAAAUGUUGAAUUAAAUAAUUACCCAAAGGUUUCCGCCUUCUAACAAAAUCAAAGCAAAACAAGAAAUGCCAGUCAUUUCUUCAAACACAUAUCUUAAUUGUUGUGUCCUAUUUCAUCGUUUAUACGACCCAUGACUACCAGUGAAGGGUAUGUAGAAUGGAAAACACAGGGACGCAAUUUGUUGCCAACACAACUCGAGACGCGAAGAGUGAAGACAUUCCCCUCACUCCCAGAUUGCAGACUCCAGAGUCUAAAAGAGUCCUCACUGACAGACACUAGAUACUCUGAAAAAGGAUCCCAACACAGAGUCAAUUGGUUUAUUAUGUACCUGAAAUGCAUGCAGGCGAGCCGGUGCCUCAACAUCAAAUAUAUAUACAACAUUGUCACCAACAUUGUCACCUCCCUUAGCCCGACUGGAAGCUUAUUUUGGUCGAUCCGCCCUUGAAUACUCUUAAACAACUACCAAUCUUAAUACUCCAGAAAUGUGAUUCAAGCAUCUGCAUUGCCAAAGCAAAUUACAUAAUCCUUAAUUGGGUGGAAGUCGUGGAAGUCGUGUUCUUGUUGGCCAAACGACUGGAGGCUUAAAACCAUGGUCUCUAUCAAUUUCAGCAUCAACACGUUUCUUCCAUGCGUCAACUAAACUUCUAGCUUUCUUUCGAAUUUCUAAGUUCUUAUGUGUCCCCAGAUGGUUCACUAAUUUACCGAUGGUACACGUUUGUAAGGCGUAAAUAUUUGUGGGGAGUUUGUCCAAUGCACGAAGUACAACUUCAAGAAAUUCCUCAAUAGAUUUUUCACUAUCCUUGGAACCACUACCAUCUCCAAUCUUCCCUUUCAGCACAUCCUGCAACCAUUCAUCAAAUACAUGCAAGCCCCUAAGAUGCACAAAUCUAUCAAGGCAAUAAAACUUAUCUGUUGCUGCUACCACACCAGCCAGUACAGAUCGGCCAACCAAGUCUAUCUUUUUUCCAUUUUUCUCAGGCUUCAUGAGCUGCAGUAAUUUUUCAACACCUUCAGAAUCUACAAGCCCUCCUUUUUCUGUAAAUUUAGCAAUCUCAGACUUCCAAAUGCUUUCAGGUCCAGAGUCACCAGAAUCCCCAUCAUCCAUCUUUGCAUCAACAUCAUCUUUAACCCUUGGAUCAACAUUACUGUUGAGAGAUUCAUCCUCCAUAUCAGCCUGCAUAUCAAGAUCAUUAUUACCCCUUAACUGAUUCGCUGGAGAUGUAAUAGUGCCUAGAUUAUCAAUUCCAAACAUCAUUAGAUGCUUUGAAGAACUACUAUAUGAAUGAGCCUUCAAGUUAUCAGAAACGCCAAGCAUGAGCUGGCCAUUAAUAUUAAUCUUACUUCCAUAUCGAACAUCAUUGCUGUUCUCACUGGGAUUUGCUUGGUGUUGAUUUCCAUCUUUACUUGUGUCUUUCAACAACAAUAAUAGUGGAACAUAUGACAAAGAAUUGCCAUUUUGCUGCAAAAUAACAACACUGUGAUCAAACUAAUAUUAACACUUUGCUUUUCUGCUCUUGAUGUGUAAAUUUCAAAGCAGUACUUGAACUUUAUUGAGGCUUAAUUUAAUUUGUAAUUUGUUCAAUUUAAUAAAACUAAAUUUAUGAGAGUGAAAUAAACAUUCUCAUCAUUCAUACCAAACGAGAAAUAUAAAGUCCUAAAUCAACUAUACAAAACUUUACGAAAUUCAUAACAAUGGCACCUGAUUAGCAUUGGGCUCAAACUAUGGCAGUUUUGGUAUAUAUUAGUUCUCUAAUUAAAGAGGAAUUAAAAGCAAACCUGCAGGUACUCGACGACAUUGCUGUGUCCGAAGAGGCUAUCAAUGACAGCGAAAUUAUGUGGUUCAACACUUGGAGGAAAAUAGGAAGCUACAUAACACUUAUCGGUGCAUGGCCUGCGAAGGAUUUUACAGGCGGCGCAAGGUCCGAUGACAGCGGCAGAAGGCAGGCCGAAAGGACUAAAAGAAUUUUGGGAAAGCGGUAGGGGAAGACUUUGAUGAGAAGACAGAAAUGGAGAAUUUAGACUUGGAUCAGAAGAUGGACAUGAAGAACACGAAUUAAAAGAUGGCGGCGGAGAAGAAGAUGAAGAUGGUGUUAAUGAUUGCGAAUUGGAAAACGUAGAGGGAAAUACGAACGGGUUUUUGGCCAUCUGAAACCGAUCGAGAUGGAACAGAAAAUGGGUCAACAACGGUGGUCUAUUUAUUAUUAUUUUUUUGAGAAUAAUUUUUAUUUUUGUUUUGCUAAUGCUUCAUUUAAUUAUAAUAGCUUGAGCACUUAGGUCGAUAAUUCCAAGUAAUUAUACAGUGUAAGCGUAUAAUACUAUAAGGGUACAAUACUAUAAUUUUAUAAUUUUCUUUUUCCUUCUCAUUUGAUGCUUAUCAAAUUCAAAAUCAAACCCCAUCUUAUGUUCAUAGCAAACUCCAUCUUAUAAUUUAAAUCAAACUCAAUAUUAUUAAUUAAAUAUUAUAUUAGAUACAGAAAAAUAAUUAUUAUUGUUAUUAUUAUGUCGUAUAAUUUCCUUAUGGCAUAUUUAUCAUUGAUUGAAAUAAGGGAUAAUGAAAAAAAAAAAAAAACAGUGAAAAAAGGAAAGAUAAUGAAUCUUUCUCUGUAUUCAUAUUUCAUAGUUACAAAAUAAAGCUUUUUCAAAAGAAUCAAUACCUAACUGUACUAACUUUAGCUUUUACAAAAAAUAAUACAAUAAAAUCUAGAAUACUACAAACCAGAUAUUAAAUCGACUAGAUUUUAGGCUAGAAUUAAUAUAAAAUAUCUUUGAGUAGCUAGUUUUGAAAUACAAUCAUAGUCAUCUAAAUAGAAGCAAAGGAUGAGGCACCGCUGUGUACAUCAUCCGACCCAAGUUUUAGCUGUGAUGUUGAUGUUGAACCAUUCACUGGCUUAGGUGAAUGUCCCGCUGGUUCCACAGAUGAAUGCAUUUCUAUGCGUGUCUUGUAUAAUAGCUGAUCUACUUCUUCUUGACGUUCCUGUGGAAAAGAAAUACUCCAUCUGUUUAAAGUUUUUACACAAGAAUUAAAAAAAAAAUUAAUUUUUCUAGAUUAUAAUAAAACUAAAGAUAAUAUGACCAAAUUAUCAUUUAUAGUUCGUUGUGAAAGUAUUUAUUGUAUCUAAUGUAAAUUAGUGUAACAUUAGAAAAAUAUAAUUUAUUAUUCUUAAAAUACUCCAAUUUCGCAAUAUGCAAGAAGUGUGAAUGUAAGGGAUAUAUUUAAUGUGCAAGAAGUGCAAGCAAAAUAUGUACACACGUACAUUAAUAUUAUCUUGGUCAGUUAGCCAGAAAAAACACUUGUAUUGAAUGUCGUAAACUCGCCGGCACACAAAAGAGCAAAUCCCUGAUGGAAGUUCAACACCUUUUGGGAGAAAUGAAACUUUACACGGAUGGAGUAAUGAUGCAGCAGGAAUCUCAUCCUUAUGAAAGGAAUAGAAUACUUCAUUUGGUGCAGCUUCCAAAGGGAUGCCUUUGCGAAGCUUCACUUCAGCAGGUCGAUAUAACCAAUUCACACACAACUUGAGCACUUCACCGACAAUCAGCGAUCGAAUUAUUCCAACGAAAGGUGGGGAGUCCUGCGGUGGCUUGAAAACAGCACAAUCUCCAACACUGAUCUUGCGCCCCUCCUGUUAGAUAAAACAAAACGGGAAACUUCAGUCAACUGUUACAGAAUUUAUCUGAAAAAAAAACAGCUGCAUCUAAUUAAUUGCAUUUCUGGAUCACUAAACUGUUCCAUGAAUAUAAACAAUUAUUUGGAAUUUACGAAGGCAAUUGAUUUCAAGACAAUCAUGGUCAGCACUCAUCAAUAACCUCACUAUGUUUUAUCCUAAUUAAAAUUUUAAAUUAUGUCUUAUUGUAGAAGUUUUGUCAUAUGUUAAUUACAAAUUAUAUCUUGUACAUCACUACGUACUAUACGUAUAAUUACCUUAUUUAUACAAAUUUUAUUUAUUUUCGUUAUUAAGGAUUUCGCUAUUAAAAGUAUGUCAAACACCUAUUGCUCGACCCAUUUUUUAUUGAUCUUUGAUGUAUUAAUUUUAAUUUAAUGUCAAUAUUAUUCUAUGUAUCAACAAUAUUAUUCCUUAUGAAUUGUAAUUCAACUUUGAAAUUCACUAAAUUUUACAUUGUGUUUAUGGAUAUUAUUAUCUAAGUCUAAUUAUCAUGUUAUGUAUUCAAUUUUUAACUUGUUGGCCACUCGCGUAAGUUAGUUUAAUUUUAUGUUUAUUAUAAUUACUAUUGUUCAUUUUUUUAAUAGAAAAUCAUUAUUUUCUUUAAGCAAAUUAUUAUUAUUAUAUUUAUUGUUGAGUGAAUUUUUUUAUUCUAUAAUAAAAUUAAUUUUUGUAAAUUAUUGUAAAUCUUUUUUUCGAUUUUUUAUGAACAUUUUUAUUUAAAGUUUAUAGAAAAGAACAUGAAUACGGUAGAAUCAAACUAUAAUAAAUAUUUUAUCUAAUUUUCAAUUAUUUGUAUACUUUUAUUUAUGUUUUAUUAAUUAUUUUGUUGAAUUGUUUUUUAUUGAAAAUUAAAAUUAAAAUAAUGGUAAAUGAUAAGAAAAACAACACGUGCAACACUAUACUACUCAGUGUUCCAAGGAAUGAACAGCAAUUUCACACCCACAUGAUCACCAUUCCGACUCUCAUUUAUACAAACCCCUUUCAAAGUAGAUGAGACCCAAUUUGGUAAAUAGUAGUUUUGUAGUUAAAGAUUAAUUAAAACCAUACCUUCAUAAAGAACUCGACAUUGCUAAGUCCCAAGACGCUAUCAACAGUGAAAUUAUGCGAUUCUGCACUUGGAGGAAAAUAGGAAGCUGAAUAACACUUAUCGUUACAUGGCCGGCGAAGGAUUUUGCGGGCGGCGCAAGAUCCGAGGAAAGCCGCAGAUGGAAGGCCGGAACGGCUGGAAGAAGUUUGGGAAGGCUGUAAGGAAAGACUUUGAUGAUG
rnacentral:lncRNA from 1 species